AUGAACGCUGGCGGCGUGCCUAAUACAUGCAAGUCGAGCGAACAGACGAGAGUGCUUGCACUCUCUGACGUUAGCGGCGGACGGGUGAGUAACACGUGGGUAACCUACCUAUAAGACUGGGAUAACUUCGGGAAACCGGAGCUAAUACCGGAUAAUAUUUAGCUUCGCAUGAAGCAAUAGUGAAAGACGGUUCUGCUGUCACUUAUAGAUGGACCCGCGGUGUAUUAGCUAGUUGGUGAGGUAACGGCUCACCAAGGCAACGAUACAUAGCCGACCUGAGAGGGUGAUCGGCCACACUGGGACUGAGACACGGCCCAGACUCCUACGGGAGGCAGCAGUAGGGAAUCUUCCGCAAUGGACGAAAGUCUGGCGGAGCAAUGCCGCGUGAGUGAAGAAGGUUUUCGGAUCGUAAAACUCUGUUGUAAGGGAAGAACAAGUACGUUAGUAACUGAACGUACCUUGACGGUACCUUACCAGAAAGCCACGGCUAACUACGUG
rnacentral:rRNA from 1 species